UAGGAAGAAGCGGAGUCUCAAGUCCUUUAUUUCUUUGAUGCUUCACCCAGAAAAUUCUAUAGUUAGGCUCCUCCACCAAAAACUGUGCCUCAGCUCUGACCUGAAGGGACCACCUCUUUGGAAGAAAGGAUCGUUCACUCUCCRUAUCUAUUCAUCCCUCAGUCUCU
rnacentral:sRNA from 1 species